rnacentral:tRNA from 3 species
GGCGAUGUGGCGCAACUGAAUAGCGCAUCUGAUUACGGCUCAGAAGGUUGCAGGUUUGAAUCCUGCCAUCGUCACAA